UGAUAGCGUAGAUCUGUGAGGUUGCUGUCGUGUGUGACAGGUUUUCACAGGGAGUAAAUGUCAAGUUAGGAAACUGGCGACAA
rnacentral:ncRNA from 2 species